CUGCGGGUUCCGGCCUUUGGUCCGGGUCCCUCACUCCCCAAGCCCGGCGAGGCCGACAAGGAGGCUCGGGUUGGUCUUGCCUCGCCAUGGCUGUCACGGCACACGCUCAGGGUUCUCAGAGGGGCUUCGCUGGAAGUCCGCACUGAAGAAGCUAUAAGCUCAGGUCCCUCCGUGACCAAAGAGAUGCACUUCGCACUAAAAUGAUCCUAGAGGUAGCGGCCGCGCCCCCCUUCCAGAACACUUCCGGGACGCCGCACUUUGACCCGGAAGUGGGCGGGAGAGGAAGUAGCUGGUGAUGCUGGAACAAACAUGGCCGUCCCGGUGUCCCUCGGCCGCUCGGGCUCUUGCUGUCUACGGCUGCUGCCACUGCUGGCGCUGCUGGAGCUGCUGGUCGACCCCUGCCUGGGCCGCGUCCACCACCUGGCGCUCAAAGAUGACGUGAGGCAUAAAGUUCAUCUGAACACCUUUGGGUUCUUCAAGGACGGGUACAUGGUGGUCAACGUCAGCAGCCUCUCUGUGAAUGAACCGAAGGGAGACGUGAAAACGAAGUCUGAGAUCGGCUUCAGUCUAGAUCGGACCAAGAACGAUGGCUUUUCUUCUUACCUGGAUGAAGAUGUGAAUUACUGUAUUUUACGAAAACAGUCUAUAUCUUCUGUUACCCUUCUCAUCUUAGACAUCUCUGAAAGCGUAGUCAAGGUCAGAUCUCCACCAGAAGCCGGCACCCAGUUACCAAAGAUUGUUUUCAGCAAGGACGAGAAAGUCCUGGAUCAGAACCAGGAGCCUGCGGUCAGCUCCAUACCCACAGAGAGCGCGGUGCAGAGAGCCCAAGAUGGUUCGAAGGCUAGAAGAAGUGCAGGGGAUUCAAAGGCAACAGCAGAGAAAUCCUUCUCAAUUCAUAAGAACGAUGGUGCAGUUUCAUUUCAGUUCUUCUUUAACAUCAGCACGGAUGACCAGGAAGGCCUGUACAGCCUCUACUUCCACAAGUGCCCAGGCAGCAAGGCGCAGCCCAGUGAGAAGGUCUCCUUCAGCCUGAAUAUUGACAUCACUGAGAAGAACCCUGACAGCUACCUCUCUGCUGGGGAGAUCCCUCUCCCCAAGUUGUACGUUUCCAUGGCCGCCUUCUUCUUCCUUUCUGGGACCAUCUGGAUUCAUAUCCUUCGUAAGCGAAGGAAUGAUGUGUUUAAAAUUCACUGGUUGAUGGCGGCCCUUCCUUUCACCAAGUCUCUGUCUUUGGUGUUCCAUGCAAUCGACUACCACUAUAUCUCCUCGCAGGGCUUUCCGAUUGAAGGCUGGGCUGUCGUAUACUACAUAACUCACCUCCUAAAGGGGGCGCUGCUGUUCAUCACCAUCGCUCUCAUUGGCACUGGCUGGGCCUUCAUCAAGCACAUCUUGUCUGAUAAAGACAAGAAGAUCUUCAUGAUCGUCAUCCCACUCCAGGUGCUGGCAAACGUGGCCUACAUCAUCAUAGAGUCCACAGAGGAGGGCACGACAGAAUACGGCCUGUGGAAGGACUCUCUGUUCCUGGUUGACCUGCUGUGCUGUGGUGCUAUCCUCUUCCCAGUGGUGUGGUCAAUCAGACAUUUACAAGAAGCCUCAGCCACAGAUGGAAAAGCUGCCAUUAACUUAGCAAAGCUGAAGCUUUUCAGACAUUACUACGUCUUGAUUGUGUGCUACAUCUACUUCACCAGGAUCAUCGCCUUUCUUCUCAAGUUUGCUGUUCCAUUCCAGUGGAAGUGGCUCUACCAGUUGCUGGAUGAAACAGCCACGCUGGUGUUCUUUGUCCUGACGGGGUAUAAAUUCCGCCCGGCUUCAGAUAACCCCUACCUGCAGCUCUCUCAGGAGGAAGAUGACCUGGAGAUGGAGUCUGUGGCUGCAGGAUCACCCUAGAGUGCUUGUCAAGUAUAGGCUCUGUCGCUGCUCAGAGGGAGGCCACAGCCACUAGCGGGGUGAAAGCAGCGGCGCAGGCCCAGCAGUGCAGAGUGACAACAUCAGGAGUGAUGGAGAAUAUGAAGAAAGUCAGGAAAGUAACCAAUGGUGUUGUGGAGCCCCCGGGUGACUGGGAAGGCACUGCGUGAUAGAACCCGCUCUGAGGAUGCACUGUCAAUGAAAACUAACUUAUUCAUAGCCCUAUCAGCGAGCAAGCGUGUUCCUGACAGAACUGUGGCAUCUCCCAACAGUGACACCCCAGCGCUCGCUCAUGGCACGGCAGAGGGCCGUGGACACCUACUUUUGUACUCUUAGAGGAUCUGGAUUGCAGUGGGUUACAGGCAGCUAGGACUGUCCCUCAGGGAGGGUAGGAGCAUAGAGGAUGGGUGAAAGGUUUACCUUGCUAAUUGGGAGUCUGGGGUCCAUGUAGGGGAACCGCAGCGGCUGCCGCUCAGAAAGGCUGUGGCGGUGGGAAAGGCAGGCUGCCGCUGCUCACAGAGCUUUGGAGGCUGAGAAUGUGGCUCACUCUUGACCAAGCAUUCACGAGGCUCCGGGUUCAAUCCCUAGUACCAGGAUGGGGGAGAAGUUACGUUGGAAUGUAGGCAGCUAUCUACCAAGGACAUGAAGAAGAGAGAGAGAGAUUGACCACCUUGGGCAAACAACAGCAACAGAAAUGAUUGGAAUUAUUUUAGAAAGCCAAAUAGUCACCCUAGGUAGUAUGAAGCAUCUGCCUGGGCCACUGGCCCCAAGCACCACUCUAAAUGCUGUCCCCUCUUCUAAUGGUGACAUAGAACAGUGGUGCUACAGGCCAGCUGGGAGGCCCUUGGCGUUGCUGUUGAGGCCGCUGCCAGCGCCACACACAGCCCUGCUGGUGGAGAAUAGCUGUCUCCAGGCCUGUCGGAAGGGUAGAUGAGCCCUGGAGCUCCAGAAGUGUUCUCCAGCUGACUCCAGACUCCAUCCUCUGCCUGUCCAGAGCAGCCCGGCCUGGCUUGCUCUCCACCUGUGUCUUCUCAACAGGAGAAUGUUCCUUAAGGAGCCACUGGGGGCAGAAAGGGCCACAUCUAAGCAAAUACUUUGGAAAGUCUUGAUCCACAGCUGGCUCGACCAGGCAGGACUCUGGGCCUCAACCACGUAGUCCAAGCUUUCGUGAAGGAAGUGAGCACUGAGACAACGAGCCUGUCAGGAAUACCAGCGGCUGCCUGCAUGGGACAGUGGUGCGGCAGAGAAUGCGCUCAGAGGGCACGUGACCAAGGGCACAGGUGACCAGCUCAGCACCCCAAAGCUGCUUAGUGCACAAGACUUGUAGGUGAAUCAUAGGUUCAAGGAACAGGGGCUCCCUGGGGUGACAGUUACUACCUCCCAGCGCAGAAGAAUCAAAUCUGUCCUGAAAACAGUUGUGUCUGUCUCCGUGCCCCACCCCAACUUCCACAUCAUCCGCCUCCAGUGAGACGCCGUCUCUGCCAUUCCGGGUCUGAGGAGGCCCCUCUCCACCAGCUCUUCUAUCUGGAGAAAGGUAGACAAGCCUGAAAGACUUGAUUUAGGGAGCUUUCUCUCCUUUUUUUGUUUUGUUCUUGUCUAUUGGUUUAAGGUAUGUGACGGGAAGGGAGUUGGAGAGGAGACGGGGAUAAUUUUUCAUGCUUUGUUUUCUGCACAUAAGCACUCAGCAGCACUGCAGACGUUCCUGUGGUGACAUCUAGGCCUACCCCUCACAUGGCAGCCUGGGGGGGGGGGCGGCAGCACUGCCAGCAGACAUUGUUGACUAGGCGCUAGACUCACGGAAGGUGUGAGCCAGCCUCCCCUGGCAGGGUUUUUAUGGAGGGGCCUCAUUUGCUCAGUGGCAGAGAGCAAGAUGGGAACUGUCUACAGCCUAGCCCACCAGCCUCUGGGUGGCUCUAGGGGACAGCCUGGGCCUUCCAGAGCAUGGGUGCACAGGCAGGAAGGUGGGCCAGGACAGUGUCUUGCCCUGUAACUGCUGUAGGUGGGAUGUCGGAGUGAUGGGGUCAGAAGCCUAGCCCAAGGCUGGGAAGGCUGGACGGGUGUGCCCCAACUGUGGAGGAGACCGUGCAGCUGCUCAUCCUGCACUGUAAAUGUGUCAUCCCCAUCAUCUGAGAGCUGGGAGCCAGCGGUCAGCGGCGUCCUCGGGUAGAGGAGUCUGACUGGAGUCUGGGGCUGCCCAGUUGCCCAGCUCACAGCUGCCCUCUGUAGCCUGGUCCAGCCUCUCUGUCUCCACAGCCAUGCUUGAACGCUGCAGCCCUGGGUGGGGUGGAGGGUUCACCUUGUCCUGCACUGUGGUGUUUCUAGCUCUGCUUCUGCCGGGGUGAGGCAUCCACGCUUCCUUUGAGAGUGCUGUGGACUGGAAGCUGCAGGCCGUGACAUUUAAUGAAAAUUACCAAGUCCUGGUUCUUAACAGUGUGGAGGGCUCAGCCUCUUAACAUUUGACUAGCAGUGUUGGCUAAUGUUUAGCCUGACUGGAGUUCCUUCUCUCUGGAGGAACAGCUCACUCCAGGGGCAGAGAUCCCUCCUCGCACCAGGCCUGUGUCUGUUCAGUUUUCCUUCAGAAACCACUUCAGAAGAAAUAAAAGUGUCCCCACUCUCCAACCCUCUGCCUGCUCAGCAGCCAGGCCCACACAGCUCCUGAGGUGCUUGUGGGAUUUCUGCUCUUCCUGGUCCUUCCAUCUUCCUCUCUUCCUCCUCCUCCUUUCCCUUACCCCCUACCACUACCACCACCAUGCCCGCUUACUUUCCAUUGACUCCCUUGCCCUCCCUGGCAUGCUGGCUGCAGCCUGGCGCACUGCAGCUUUGUCUGCCGGCGGUGGGUGCAGGAUGUAUUUCCUAACCAGGGAGCAUUCUAUCAAGAGUGCAAGCUAUGCAAACUAACACUAUGUAUUGCUGCUUUGUACCACACGGUGGUCUCCCCACACCCCAGCAUCUGUCUGACUCUUGGAGUGGAGUCUAAAGCCAGUCUUUGAAAAGGGGAAGUGUGUCAAAGAUUCCUGUGUACAUUUUCAGUGGCCUCUGGCUACCUCCCAUAUCCCAUAGUGUGUUCCUCGAGGAAGCAUUAGUCUGAUGAGGUUGCUGGCCCAGCCCCAUAUACCCAGGAGGACAGCCUAGCAUUCCAGCCUCCCUCUGCCAUGCUGCUGCUCUUCACAGGAAGAUCCCAGCCCUGCUCCCACACUCCACCACCCUGGCUUGUCUGGCCUGCCCGGGACCUCCGCACUUCGCCGCAUCACGGUGCUGCCCGGCCCGCUGCCGCCGCUUUCCUCUCUGGAGUUCGCUGAGGACUUUAUUUGUGUCUCUCGGCUAUCAGAAUGGUGUUCAUUUGGAGCAGGCCGGUGUUCUCAAAGAUCUGCCCUUUACUCCAGCUUUCCCAAGGCUGCCCAGGCGAGAAUCUGUAAAAUAUGUUCCUAGGAGUCUUGCUCAUACCUGUACCGCCUAGAAUGUGAUCACAGGUCAUAGGCCAAGGAGUCUCCCAAUUCCCCCAGGCCUCUUCUGUGUUGUAGGGGUGUGUCUGUUUCAUGCUUUAAAAGCAUCCUACAUUUAGGUGGCCCUCUGCCUGGGCUGGGAACUGCCUCCCUGCUUCCCGGUACAAGCAGGGAGCAGACCUGAUCAUGCUGUGUCAGGCAAGGAGAUUACAGACAGGCCACUGGGGAAGGCACCCAAGUUCCUGGUGUGCCCAUCUAUCAAAGAGGCAGGUUCACUCCCAAGGCAGGGUGGCCGUCUGCAGGUGAGGCUGUGCCAUAGGUGGGGAACAGGAGGGCCAGAAGCCUGUCCACACAAGGGAACUUCCCAGCCCCCAGGCAGCGUUUCUAGUCUACUCAUUGUCAGACUGAGUAACCCAGAGGUUUCACCUGCAGGAGGUCAUAUGGGCCUGUGCGCCCUACUCAGGCUGGGGUGCAGGGGCUGGGGACCACUUAGUAACUUUAGCAUUAACCAUUGAAUAUUUACAAGCAUGGGGUGUGGGUGUGUUCAGGAUUGGUGGGCUGGACACUGUAUGGAAGCAUUUCACUGCAAAGCAAACAUGUCUAAUAAAGAUUCCAUGCUGGAAA